rfam:Scytonema hofmannii PCC 7110 genomic scaffold Scaffold1, whole genome shotgun sequence.
GUAAGCAACCCACGGCUUUAAGCCGUGGGCUUCGACCAGACUCGAACUGAAAGAAGCCAAGCUUACCAGACUAUCAGUAGUUUACUACUGGGUUCACGUUAAGUGUUAAAGAACUCACCUUGGGAUGCGUAGCUAGUUCCAAGCUCUGAAACGAAGCAGCUUAAUUGACGUAAUGGUUUAAAGUCAGUGCUGACAAGCGAAAGUACUGGAUGUGAACAGAGUCGUUCGCGAAGCGUCUCCCAAGGGGAGACGCUAACAUUAC